AGGUUGGUCUUGGUUUCCUCAAGCUCAAGUGAUCCUCCUGCCUUGGCCUCCCAAAGUGCUGAGAUGAUGGGCAUAGCCACUAUAAAUGUCUGAUACUCCAGUUUGAUUUGCAUUUUCCUGAUGGUUAGUGACACUGAGUAUCACUCAGUCAUUGCCACCAACCUGCGCACCGUGUCCUCUUGCUGCUCUGCUGCCCUACUCCUUCACCUGUCACAAUGGAAGAAGAGAUCGCCAUGCUGGUCAUUGACAGUGUCUCCAGCAUGUGCAAAGCUGGCUUUGCUGGGGAUGAUGCCCCCCUCUGAGUCAUUUUCCCCUCCAUUGUUGGGCACCCUGGCCAGAAGGACUUCUGUGUAGGUGAUAAGGCCCAGAGCAAGCAUGGCAUCCUGGCCUGAAGAUGGGAACCCUGGCCCCAUCGAGCACAGCAUCAUCACCAACUGGGAUUACAUGGAGAUCACACCUUCUACAAAGAGCUGCAUGUGGCCCUGGAGAAACACCUGGUGCUGCUGACCAAGGUCCCUGUGAACCCUGUGAACCUCAAGGCCAACAGAGAGAAGAUGACUCAGAUCAUGUUUGAGACCUUCAAUACCCAGGCCAUGUAUGUGGCCAUCCAGGCCAUGCUGUCCCUCUACACCUCUGGGCACACCACUGGCAUUGUCAUAGACUCUGGAGACAGGGUCAACCACAUGGUGCCCAUCUGCGAGGACUACAUGCUCCCCCACGCCAUACUGUGUCUGGACUGGCUGGCAGGGACCUAACCAACUACCUCAUGAAGAUCCUCACAAAGCGCAACUAUAGCUUUACCACCAUGGCCGAGAGGGAGAUCCUUCAAGGAGAAGCUGUGCUAUGUCACCCUGGACUUCGAGCAGGAGAUGGCCACUGCCACAUCCUCCACCUCCCUGGAGAAGAGCUAGGACCUACCCGACAGCCAGGUCAUCACCAUUGGCAAUGAUCAGUUCUGGUGUCUGGAGGCUCUGUUCGCCUUCCUUCCUAGGCAUGGAAUCUUGAGGCAUCCUCGAGACCACCUUCAACUCCAUCAUGAAGUGUGAUGUGGACAUCCGCAAAGACCUAUACGCCAACACAGUGCUGUCUGGUGGCACCACCAUGUACCCGGGCAUUGCCAACAGGAUGCAGAAGGACAUCACCAUCCUGGCACCCAGCACCGUGAAGAUCAAGAUCAUUGUGCCCCCCAGAGUGCAAGUACUCUGUGUGGUUCCACGCUUCCAUCCUGACCUCACUGUCCACCUCCAGCAGAUGUGGAUUAGCAAGCAGGAGUACGACAAGUUGGCCCCUCGUUUUUCCACUGCAAAUGCUUCUAAAUGGACUGCAAGCAGAUAUGUAGCAUUUGCUGCAUGGGUUCAUUCAGAAGUAUAAAUUUGUCCCUGGCAAAUGCAUAUACCUCAUGCUAGCCUCAUGAAACUGGAAUAAGCCUUCAAAAAGAAAUUGUCCUUGAAGCUUGUAUCUGAUAUCAGCACUGGAUUGUAGAACUUGUUGCUGAUUUUGACCUUGUAUUCAAAUUAACUGUUCCUGCUUGGUAUUUGUAGAAUACCUAUACAUAUCUUUGAUUUUACCCCUUAGUACAUGUGGCUUGGUCACUUUGUGGCUGAGAUAAGAACAUGCUUGUGGAAGACAAGUCUGUGGCUUGAAGAGUCUACAUGGCCAGCAGUCUCCAGUCUGUACAGGAUAUUAAUGUGUCGGGGCUGAGUGUUCUGGGAUUUCUCUAGAGGCUGGCAGGGGCUCUUGAGUUAGUGGUUUCUGUCCUGCUGGUCUGUCAGGGUUGGAAAAGUCCAAGCCAUAGGACCCAGUUUCCUUUCUUAGUUGAUGUUUUCCUGCCAAAAAACCGUGGGCUGUUACUUGCCUUGAGUUGGAAGCAGUUUUCAUUUAUACCUGUAAAUAUAUUCAUCUUUUUAAUUUAUGUAAGUUUUUUUGUAUGCAAUUCUCGAUUCUUUAAAGAGAUGACAACAAAUUUUGGUUUUCUACUGUUAUCUGAGAACAUUAGGCCCCAGCAACACAUCAUUGGAUGAAGAAAUAGAAAAGAGCUGAGAUC